AUUGAACGCUGGCGGCAGGCCUAACACAUGCAAGUCGAGCGGAGCGGCAGACGGGUGAGUAAUGCCUAGGUAUCUACCUGGUAGUGAGGGAUAACGUCCGGUAACGGGCGCUAAUACCGCAUACUAUCAGAUGAGCCUAGGCCGGAUUAGCUAGUUGGUGGGGGAAAGGCCGACCAAGGCGACGAUCCGUAACUGGGCUGAGAGGAUGAUCAGUCACACUGGAACUGAGACACGGUCCAGACUCGUACGGGAGGCAGCAGUGGGGAAUAUUGGGCAAUGGGGGAAAGCCUGAUGCAGCCAUGCCGCGUGUAUGAAGAAGGUCUUCGGAUUGUAAAGCACUUUAAGUUGGGAGGCGUUACCGACAGAAUAAGCACCGGCUAACUUCGUGCCAGCAGCCGCGGUAAUUC
rnacentral:rRNA from 1 species